rnacentral:pre_miRNA from 1 species
AAUAGAAAAACGACAAAUCAGAUUUUUCUCUUGAUUUUCAGCUUUUUCCUCCUAAAAAAAUUCAAAUCAAACUAAAAACACUAAAAGUCAGGAGGAAAAAUAUUAUUUGUCAUUCUCCCAUU